rnacentral:rRNA from 1 species
GACGAACGCUGGCGGCGUGCUUAACACAUGCAAGUCGAACGGAAAGGCCCUGCUUUUGUGGGGUGCUCGAGUGGCGAACGGGUGAGUAACACGUGAGUAACCUGCCCUUGACUUUGGGAUAACUUCAGGAAACUGGGGCUAAUACCGGAUAGGAGCUCCUGCUGCAUGGUGGGGGUUGGAAAGUUUCGGCGGUUGGGGAUGGACUCGCGGCUUAUCAGCUUGUUGGUGGGGUAGUGGCUUACCAAGGCUUUGACGGGUAGCCGGCCUGAGAGGGUGACCGGCCACAUUGGGACUGAGAUACGGCCAAGACUCCUACGGGAGGCAGCAGUGGGGAAUAUUGCACAAUGGGCGGAAGCCUGAUGCAGCAACGCCGCGUGCGGGAUGACGGCCUACGGGUUGUAAACCGCUUUCGCCUGUGACGAAGCGUGAGUGACGGUAAUGGGUAAAGAAGCACCGGCUAACUACGUG